CUUCUCAACUGGAAAAGGAUAAGAAACAAUUGGAAAAGGAAAAUAAGAGACUCCGACAACAAGCAGAAAUUAAAGAUACCACAUUAGAAGAAAAUAAUGUGAAGAUUGGAAAUUUGGAAAAAGAAAACAAAACCCUAUCCAAAGAAAUUGGUAUAUAUAAAGAAUCUUGUAUCCGUCUAAAAGAACUAGAAAAAGAAAAUAAGGAGCUUGUGAAAAGAGCAACUAUUGAUAUAAAAACGUUGGUUACACUACGUGAGGAUUUGGUGAGUGAAAAGUUGAAGACCCAACAGAUGAACAAUGAUCUCGAAAAAUUAACUCAUGAGCUUGAGAAGAUAGGGUUAAAUAAGGAGCGACUCUUACAUGAUGAGCAAAGUACUGAUGACAGGUGAGUACUAAGUCUACUUGGCAAACAGUUGAAAUUUUUUUUUUUUUUUUUUUGCUCAUUCAUUCUUUCUGUACUAGCUAUAGAAAACAUUUAUAUAUUUCACCCUAUUUCUGGUUCCUUUCUUCCCUUAAAGAAAGUUCUGUAGCCGGG
rnacentral:sRNA from 1 species